rnacentral:sRNA from 1 species
GUUAAUAAUUUGGUAACAUAUAGAUAUUUGAAUAUUUAGUAUAUUUUGCUUAAGUUUAGGAAAUCUUUGAUGACCCGUCUUUAGAUCCAAUAAGCUCUAUAAUCUAGAUAUUAACCUGCAGUAUACCGCAAGUAUGCUUAUAUUUUAGUUAAACUGAAAACUUUUAUUGUAAAGAUGAUUAAAAAAUAUACGAUAUUGUUUUAUUUGAUUUAAAUGUAUAGUAAACUGUGAGUUGUAUAUGUUUUGUUGAUAUUAUUUAUAUUGUUAAGUGUUUAAGAUUAUACAUUUGUAGUUUGAUUGUUAAUUUAAGAGUUUCACCUGUAGUAUACCAUCUUGUAUUAAUAUCGAGUUAAACCCGUCAAUUCUAGGAUUUUCCAGCUUGUAUUAAAAAUUGAAUCACAUCUAAUAUGUUAUUAAUUAUUCUAAUAU